GACGAACGCUGGCGGCGUGCUUAACACAUGCAAGUCGAGCGGUAAGGCCCUUUCGGGGGUACACGAGCGGCGAACGGGUGAGUAACACGUGGGUGACCUGCCCUCAGCUCUGGGAUAAGCCUGGGAAACCGGGUCUAAUACCGGAUAUGACUCCAUGACGCAUGUUGUGGGGUGGAAAGCCUUGUGCGGCUGAGGAUGGGCCCGCGGCCUAUCAGCUUGUUGGUGGGGUGAUGGCCUACCAAGGCGACGACGGGUAGCCGGCCUGAGAGGGCGACCGGCCACACUGGGACUGAGACACGGCCCGGACUCCUACGGGAGGCAGCAGUGGGGAGUCUUGCGCAAUGGGCGAAAGCCUGACGCAGCGACGCCGCGUGAGGGAUGACGGCCU
rnacentral:rRNA from 1 species